rnacentral:tRNA from 1 species
AGAUAUUGAACUUGUUAAGUUUAUACUUUGAAAGUAUAAUAAAGAAAUAAAAUUUUCUAAUAUCUU